rnacentral:lncRNA from 1 species
CUGGAACUCCUUCUCCAGGAGCAGCUUCAGCUGCUCAAUGCUGCUGUUAAUCCGGUCACGGCGCAUUUUCUCCACCACCGGCUUCCUGAGUUUAUUCUUCUCUUUUGGCUGCAGUUUCUCAUCCAUGUGGAUCAUGAGGGUGUUACUGGGAGCCAUUCCAGGUGCUGUCAGCCCUGGGUGCAGCCUGUCCACGUGGGCUGCCGUGC